GUCUACGGCCAUGCUACCCUGAACAAGACCGAUCUCGUCUGAUUUCGGAAGCUAAGUAGGGUUGGGCCUGGUUAGUACUUGAAUGUGAGACCACCUAGGAAGACCAAGUGCUAUAAGCA
ensembl:rRNA 5S_rRNA 5S ribosomal RNA